GUUUCUGUGGCCUAGUGGUUAUGGCGCAUGUCUUACAUAAUAGUCCUUCCUAAGGAUAUAUCUAAGAUCACAUGAGAUCCCCGGUUCGAUCCCGGGCAGAAACA